rnacentral:rRNA from 1 species
UCGGGAAUUUUGGGCAAUGGGCGAAAGCCUGACCCAGCAACGCCGCGUGAAGGAUGAAGUAUUUCGGUAUGUAAACUUCGAAAGAAUAGGAAGAAUAAAUGACGGUACUAUUUAUAGGGUCCGGCUAACUACGUGCCAGCAGCCGCGGUAAUACGUAGGGACCAAGCGUUGUUCGGAUUUACUGGGCGUAAAGGGCGCGUAGGCGGCAAUUCAAGUCAUCUGUGAAAUCUCCGGGCUUAACUCGGAACGGUCAGAUGAUACUGCUUUGCUAGAGUGCAGAAGGGGCAAUCGGAAUUCUUGGUGUAGCGGUGAAAUGCGUAGAUAUCAAGAGGAACACCUGAGGUGAAGACGGGUUGCUGGGCUGACACUGACGCUGAGGCGCGAAAGCCAGGGGAGCAAACGGGAUUAGAUACCCAUGUAGUCCCUGAGCGGGCUGGCAAGGCGCAU